UACGUAGGGUGCGAGCGUUAAUCGGAAUUACCGGGCGUAAAGCGUGCGCAGGCGGUUUUGUAAGCCAGAUGUGAAAUCCCCGGGCUUAACCUGGGAAUGGCAUUUGGGACUGCAAGGCUCGAGUGCGGCAGAGGAGACUGGAAUUCCUGGUGUAGCAGUGAAAUGCGUAGAUAUCAGGAGGAACACCGAUGGCGAAGGCAGGUCUCUGGGCUGACACUGACGCUCAUGCACGAAAGCGUGGGGAGCAAACAGG
rnacentral:rRNA from 1 species